rnacentral:tRNA from 3 species
GCCCCGAUAGCUCAGCUGGAUAGAGCAGAGGACUUCUAAGCCUAAGGUCGCUGGUUCGAACCCAGCUCGGGGUACCA